AAGUCAGAAGAGGUCGAAAAAGCUGGUAACGGAACAAGGAACAUCGAUAAAAAAAAAGACCAGAGUCCUCUGACAAUGAGGAAACGGUGUCUUGCUGUCUGGCUAAGAAGUCGAUGCACCGUUCUGUGGAUUUAUUUCUAUAUCUAAAGAGCUCCACAACUUUAAAAAAAGGAAAUACACACGGCUACUUUGGAGUUAAAGGAGGAUUUAAGUAGUUAGCUCGUUAACGUUAUUUAUAUUAAUUACAUUUUUCAUGCGUGACAUUAAUCGUUGCGCGGCCUUGGCUUUGGAACAACGGCGUCAUCACCUGCAAAACAAAAGCUUAACAAACUCCUACCUAUAUUUUAUGUUCAAGCAUCAAUGGGAAACUUCGCAGCAGCAGCAAAAAGGGCAUUCUACAAGGAAAAGGUUGACAAUGCUACAGACGUUUGUAAACCGUUGUUUGAACAGCUGAACUUUGUAACUAUUGGAUGCCACUGUGCUGGGAAAAGUGAAGUAUGUAAUGCCAUACUUGGGAAAAAGACAUUUAGAUUUUGGUACUUAUGGAAAAAAACGCAUGUGAAGGAUACACAUGAAGCAAGUGGGAGGAGAAUAACAGUUACCCGUGCACCUGGCUGGAAUGAGAACAACCUCAGCCAACGUAAAGUACAAACAGAGAUAUUGUCCUGUGUAAAUAAGUCCUUCAAAGCUGGACUUCAUGCGGUUGUCUUUGUUGUGAAUGCUAAUAGACCCUUCUCAGAUCAAACAACCAGAACCCUAGAAGGGUUUCUCCCAGAGAAGGUGUGGGAUCAUACCAUCGUGGUGCUUCAUAAUGCAGAAGCUGAUGGUGAUGAGCUUGACGCCAUCUUACAGACAGACAGAUCUCUCCAGAACCUCAUUCAGAAAUGUGGAAACCGAUGUUGUGUACUCAACAGGAAAUCCAUAUGUGGUGUCAUUGACAGCCUUGAGGAAAUGAUAGCGGAGAAAAAAAGUAUUUACUUUGGAAAAAAUGUUGAGAUGGAAGAGAAGGCAAAAAAAAGCGUCAUAAAAAAGCUCAGGUGCAACAUUGAAUGUCUUAAAAAGCAAAGAAAUGAAAAUCUUGAACAACUUGAGGAGGUUCCAUGGAAAAACAAAAAAAAUGAGCUUCAGAAGAUUAUAGCACUGAUAGAUGUUGAAAUACGAAACCUUCAAGAGAUCUGCCAUAAACAGGAGGAAGAACUGGAAUCAUUACGGCAAGAAAAAUGCUCCGAUGUCUCGUUACAAGGAUGUCAACAGCUUCCAAAUAAAGAUCAGCAGAUUGCACAGCAGGAGGAAGAGAUAGCUCAACCAAGAGCGAUCCCCUCUCAUGUGGGACCAGUACCAAUCAGGUGCAAGAACAAGCGAUGGCCACGGCAAAAAUGGCGACGGCAACAAUGGCGGUGGAAAAGGAAAUGCGGAAAAUCGAAAAGGACAAAGACAUUAGGCAAAGAGAAACUGCAUCCAGGUGAAACACCCUGUCUGGAAAGCGAAUGGUCAAAGAAAUUACUGGAGAUUUUGAAUAACCUAACUAAACGCGAAUUCAAGGAAUUUAUGUUUCAUCUACGCCAACAAAUCACAAUACCUGAAGCUGAAUCACUUGACAGAGUGGAUCUUGCUGAUAUAAUGCUAAAGGUAUGGGGUACAUCCCAGUGUAUCAGCAAAACUGAGGAUCUGCUGAAAGAUAUCCAGCGUAAUGAUUUGGUGGAAAAACUAAAUACAUUUAGGAAAGUCUACUUCCAGACAUUUCCACUCCAUGUUGUCUCAUCUAAUCUCUUAGAUCAGGAGAACAUCCCAGACUCUCCUUUCAUACUGUUCAGGAUUCUGAUCUCGCUGAAGACUUGUGUGUUCAACCUUUGGACAAGAUCCGGGAACCAUGCGCCCUAUUAGCAAAAUGAUAACAUCAUGUUGACAGUGUCAUGAUGCCCUUAACCUGUCCAAGGAAACAGAAAAUCGUCCAAGCAGCAACAACACAAAUCUGUUUUUGAGGUCUUUUUUUCUUUGCUUGAAUAUCUGCAAAGAUGGAUAGGUCAGUUAGAUAAUCUCAGGUUCAGUUCUUAGGCUAUACUCUGGGACUCUAACCAAAAGACUGUAAAUACUGCAGACUUUAACAUUUAAGGAUAACAUUUUAAGUCAACAGUGUACAGGAACAGAGUGCCUUUUGAUAUUUUUGUCAUUGGACUGAAACCCAUAUUCUGGGAGGGAGAGCCCUGCUGCUCACAUCCUACUGCAAAAAAACAUCUCUCAGACUUCUAGAAGUAUUCUCCUAAAGCCUCUCUGAAAUGAGUGGGGGAACCCACAGAGAAGUCAGAAGAGGUCGAGUCCUCCAACAAUGAGGGAAAUGGUGCUUUGCUAGCUGGCAAAGAAGUCACUUGACCAAGAGAUGAACCGCUUUGUGGAAUAAAUUGUAUCUCUGAAGAUCUCCACAACUUUAAAAAAGGAUAUACACACAGCAAGAUGGAGUUUAAAAAGAGGCCUGAAGGAAGAGCUUAUCACGCUAAAACAGGAGCUUAAACGGCAACACUUCAGGUUCAAGGCUUUCACCGCAGCAAAGGAGCGUAGCCCCUUUGAGAACUGGAAGUGAGUAGCGCUGUGACUAAGGAGUCUAUAGAUACUUGUUAGUAGUAGCAGUAGUAGUUACUAGUUAGAUCGUAUAGAUAACUGGUAUAUAUAUUUACAGUUGCAGGAAAAAAUGUCUGACCUGGAAAGU
ensembl:lncRNA